rnacentral:lncRNA from 1 species
UCGUUUUGGACUGGCUUGGUUCAGGGCGAGAAGGAAGAAGGUGACCGUAGGGAUCUAGUAACCAAAAGAAGAAGAAGGUUUCUCGGUAUGGAAGAGCAGUUGUUCUUACACCAAUCGUUUCAUGCUUGGCUGUAUUGGUUCUAUCUUUCAUUGAGGAGAUAGAGUUUGUGUGCCAUUAAUGUGUAUCAGUGGUUCGAAUCCACGGAGAAGGUCAUGAAAGAGAUGGGUAGCAGAUGAGAAGUGGAUCCCAUUACAUCGGAAAAGGCCUUUUCACUCGAGGGCCAAGUGGCAUUAGAUUAAUACAUUGCCUUCCCUUUCUUCUUCUUUAGGACUGGGAUUUGUUGACUCCCUAACCUAAUACAGAUACCCAGCCCAGACCAGAGAAUAGCCAACUUCUUAUUCUUAUUGUAUGACCAUGCUGAGUUAAGAGAAAGCACCUUCUGUAAUGUCUACUACUUCUUCUCAACUACUUAAUCUAUUGCUGAAUGAUUGACUGUAGCUUGACCAGGGGGCCCUGGCCUUUGCUUCCAAGAUGUAUAGUUGUUUACGAGAUGUGAGAAGCAUGGAUUCCUCGAGAUGUCUAGUCAUAGUCUAUUGUGUCACUUCAAGGAUGAUUGCCGGGGACGACUUCAAUGAUUGUAUUUCCUCUGGUCCUGUUCAGGAAGAGGUGUUUUGGUCAUUUUUUUUAAUUGAAACAAGUUCCAACCACGAUGGUUUGGCGUGAGAGGUAGAGCCGAAUGGGCCGAUUUCCUUGCUUGUUACCAUCUCUUUCAAAUGUCCGUUCCUUCGUGUCUUAGACAAGGUGGGUUCACCCGUUAUGUCCUAAUAAAUAAGAAUUGGGUGUAGCAUUAGCUUUUUACAAGGUGACGACGGGAUAAGAUUGAAAAGAAAUAGGAAAACCAGCCCUUGAAUGGCAUGCUCCCUAUCUGUCUCAAUUGGCCGAGCUAAAUCGGUCAACCUAUGAGAAACUAGGAAACAAACUGGUAAAUUGCUCUUCUAUCUUACUGAAUCACUCAACUUCACUUCGAUUACUGCAUCGUUUGCAUACAUCUCCUAUCUGGGAUAAAAGGGUUUGAAGGCGGUAAACGCAUAUAGAAUGGUAACGGCUAAACAGAGUCAAUGUAUCCUCAGAAAAUAGAGUCCAGUGGUUCGAAUCCACUUCUAAAAGCGGGUGAAGGUGGGGAGACAUUAGCAACCUCAACUCGAGACGAGAAGGGGCACCUGAAUCUUCUAAUGAGGAGACCUUUUGACAUAACUCACCUAAAUUUUUUUCAUUCAUGGAUGAGGAUACAAUCUGGUACAAAAGACCAAGGAUAGAACCAAUUCAUCCCAUUCUUCGGUUGAAGCAGCUGCCCUUCCAUCAACAGAAUUGGCUCCUGCGGGCCUAAGUGGACCUUCUCCAUUAGUUCCAAACCUUGACGGUAGGGCUU